rnacentral:lncRNA from 1 species
GAAAAACUUGUUUGAUGGAGAAGAGGAGGUAAAGAAGGAAGCAGAGGGCAGAGAACUGCGUCGGAGGAGAGGUCAGAUCCACCGACCCAUGGCAUGGUGAUGUGUUUCUAGGAAGAAGUUGCUGCGGCCGAGGUCCAAGAGUUUGCUGCCUGUGUUCUCCUCAAGGAUUUUGCUGGAUUCCUGUCUCACAUUGAGGUCUUUCACCCAUUUUGAGUCUGUUUUUGUGUGGUGUAAGGCAAUGGUCCACUUUCAUUCUUCUGCAUGUCCCAGCCAAUAACUUGAAUGAGAUUAGAAGUGGACUCAUCCCUGGAGUCUCUGAAAAGAGCACAGCCAUGCCAACACCUUGAUUAGAGCCUCGUGCUAUUCUAAGCUGGGGAACCAGGUGAGUUUCACAGUACUUGGACUUUUGAUCUACAUAACUGUGAGCUAACAAAAUG